UAUCUUUUUACCAGUUAGAUGAGUGAUUAGUUUUAUCCAAGGCUGGAGCUACUGAACUAACUGGAGAGAAUGGUCUAAGACAGGAGUUGGUAAACUUUUUCUGUAUUAUUCCAGAGUGUAAGUAUUUCAGAAUUUGAAGCCUUGAAGUGUCUAAUGCUUUUUGUAUACUUUUGUACACUUCUGCUAUUACAGCUUGGAAGCAGUCAAGGACAUAUUAAACAAACAAAAAGGGCUAUAUACAAGUCUUUAUGGAGGCAGAAAUUUAUAUUGCAUAGAAUUCCCAUGUGUCAGAAAAUAUUAUUCUUCCUUGAUUACUUUCUAUUUAAAAUGCUUAGUCAUUGUUUGUACAAAGGUUAUAUUUAUACAUGGGUUGAUAUUUGUUAGUAUGUAAGACUGUCUGAAAGAAUGUUUUGCAAUGCUGUGAGAUUGAUUUGUGGGAUUUUUUUUUUCUUUUUAGUUUGUAUAAAGAACAUUUUCCAGCACAGGGUCUGAAAGAUUUACCCUUAUCUAUUUCUAAAACUUCAAAAUUUAGUGCUUACAUUUAGAUGAUGAUCCAUGCAGGUAAUUUUUACUUAUGAUGCUGAGUAAUGUUUAUGCUUCCUUAAUUUCUGUAUGAAAUAUGCAAUUAUUUGAGCAACAUUUGAUGAAAAUACUGGAUUUUGUAUCUUUUUUGGCAUCUUAAAGGAAAAUUUUAUGUAUUUCUUACAUAAAUAUAUACAAGAGAAUAAUAAAGGGUUGUAGACAUUUUAUAUGAUAACCUUAGGGGAUAGGAGAUUCCCCCAAGUUUGCAUUAAUUAUUUUUUAAACAUAAAACAUUAAAAACAUGUUCGUAUGUAUGUUAUAUAUGAAUUUUUAUAUUUACCUGCUUUUGCAGUGUUGAGAAAUAAUCAAUAAAUGAUCUGUAAGAGGAAUAGAAAAGAGCUUUAUUUGAGCCAAACUGAGGACUAUAGCCCAGAAGACAACCUCUCAGAUCACUGAGGAACUGCUCUGGAGAGGGCACAGAUACAUUAACAUCACUGACUUCUGUGUUGCCUGAUGACAAAGAAUUCCCCAGCCCGGAGGUAUUUGACCCUGACCACUUCCUGGAUGAGAAUGGCAACUUUAGGAAGAGCAACAAUUUCAUGGCUUUCUCAGCAGGAAAAUGGAUUUGUGUGGGAGAGGGCCUGGCCUGCAUGGAGCUGUUUUUAUUCCUGACCACAAUUUUGCAAAAAUGUACCUUGAAAUCUGUGUUUGACCCAAAGGACAUUGACACCACCCCAGCUAUUACUGGGAUAGCUACUAUGCCACCUUCUUACCAGCUUUGCUUCAUUCCUGUGUGAAGAAUGCUAGAUCAUCCAGCUUCCUCAGUGAUGUUGUCUUCAACUCCCUCUCCUCGGGGGCAUCAUUCACCAGUGUCCUGUUAAUAUUUCCUGAGAAUACAUUUUCUGACCUCUUCUCAUUCCCUGCACAGUUUCACCACGGAAACAUAUCUGCUGUUCUUCAUAUCUUGUAACAUUUGUAUUGGUCAUCACAUAUCCUAAUAUGUCUCUAAUAUUAAGUAGUACUAUGUACAUAGCAUCAUGUACUCAGUGCAAAGUACGGCAAGAUGAUUAGUGUGUGCCAAUGAGACCUAUUUCUCCAGUGUAUGUUUCUAAUAAAAAGCAGAAUUUGA